ACAGAGGGUGCGAGCGUUGUUCGGAAUUACUGGGCGUAAAGGGCGCGUAGGCGGCAAAUCAAGUCAGCUGUGAAAUCUCCGAGCUUAACUCGGAACGGUCAGCUGAUACUGUUUUGCUAGAGUGCAGAAAGGGCAAUCGGAAUUCUUGGUGUAGCGGUGAAAUGCGUAGAUAUCAAGAGGAACACCUGAGGCGAAGGCGGGUUGCUAGGCUGACACUGACGCUGAGGUGCGAAAGCCAGGGGAGCAAACGGGA
rnacentral:rRNA from 1 species